GAGUUUGAUUCUGGCUCAGAUUGAACGCUGGCGGCAUGCUUUACACAUGCAAGUCGGACGGCAGCACAGAGAAGCUUGCUUCUUGGGUGGCGAGUGGCGAACGGGUGAGUAAUAUAUUGGAACGUACCGAGUAAUGGGGGAUAACUUGCCGAAAGGUAAGCUAAUACCGCAUACGCUCUGAGGAGGAAAGCAGGGGACCUUCGGGCCUUGCGUUAUUCGAGCGGCCAAUAUCUGAUUAGCUAGUUGGUGGGGUAAAGGCCUACCAAGGCGACGAUCAGUAGCGGGUCUGAGAGGAUGAUCCGCCACACUGGGACUGAGACACGGCCCAGACUCCUACGGGAGGCAGCAGUGGGGAAUUUUGGACAAUGGGCGCAAGCCUGAUCCAGCCAUGCCGCGUGUCUGAAGAAGGCCUUCGGGUUGUAAAGGACUUUUGUCAGGGAAGAAAAGGUUGUGGCUAAUAUCCAUGACUGAUGACCGUACCUAA
rnacentral:rRNA from 1 species